CCUUUAGUUUCUCCACAAUGUGUAUGAGUUUUUCAUCAGUUUCAAAAUUGUCUCCCUAAAAGUUCUUUUACCCAAAUCCCAAUAAUUAACCACCCGUCUUUAAGAAAAAAAAAACAUAAAAACAAAUACAGCCAAGUGAUGAGCGAGAGAGAAGCCGGAGUAGGCAACAGACGAAGGCAAGUAGUCUCCAUACAUUUUGUUGAUAUAUCAGAUGGAGCUCAGUAUUCGUCUUACAUACUAUAGGACUCUUCAGAGUUUCAUUAAUUCUGUCAUUUCAAGUUCAACAAAAAUUUUGAAGAUUCCGAGUUCAUUUUUUGAUAAUUUAACUCUUGGGUUUCUCUCUCAUUUCGAGUUCAGCAAGCAUUUUGAAGAAAGAUGUUGGGAGAAUGCAUCACCAGCAGCAGUUUAGUGUAUGUGAUGGUGAUUUGAGGAAUCUUUGCAGGGCCGAUGUUUUAGAGAAUUGAAGACUCAAAAGAAAAGCAAGGGCAAUAGAGAAGGUAAUAUUUCAUCCUUUGAGAGCUUAUACUAGAGUCUCCAGAGACACCAAGAAGCAAUAUAAAUAUCACCAAUAGACAUGAUGCUCCUGAGUGUGUGUGGACUGAAAGAAGCAGAAACUCUAUCACGAGAACAUCCUUCAACAAGAAGACAAUGGAAUGGAUCAUUCAGAUCUUGCGAGAAGCUUCUAAGACGAGGGGGAAUCUGGUGAAAAGAUGCAAGAAGAAAGAUAACUUCUCAGAAGUGUUUGGCGCCAUAAAUUUUACCAAAUAUAGAAGGAGAUCGGUUAUAAUUAUUCCUAAACUGACGUUUAACUAAAGGUUGGGUGUUUAUCGCAGAGAAAGUUGGUAGAUUCAUUAAUAGUCACACGAAUGAGGGCAAGCUAGAGGAAUUCAGGCUAGUUGACAAUAAAAUUCCUUAUGCUGAAGCCGUUAAGAGCAUUAAAUGGGCAAAUAGGGAGGACAAGGAGACAGUUGCAAAAUGCACAUUAAAUGGGGUGGGGGUGGGGGGUGGGGUGGGGAAGAACAUGCAUUAAUGAUUUUUCAACAUCACAGAAUGAAGUUUUAAAAGGGGAGCUUGGUGGGCUUUUUCAAGAUCAAAACUAGUGUCACACCAACCCUACAAGAAGUCAGGAGAUGGUCCAACAGCCUAUGGAAACAAGCACAUGGAUUGAACAUUUAUGAGAUGGGAGAAGGUUAUUUCCUCUUUGAGUUCGCUUCAAGAGUUACGACAGAGCAAGUAAUUGUAGGGGACUGGGUCUGUAAAAAUCUUCCAGUCAAACUACAAUGGUGGAAUCCGAUGAUAGGUGUAAUGGGAGAGAAAGUAGACCCAGCUCAACUUGGGUCAGAAUUGUAGGCUUACAACUACACUUCUAGUCCUAGAAAUUCUUUAGAGCCAUUGGAAACCAUUGUAGAGGUUGGGUAGAGACGGAAGAGGAAACACAAUUGUGUAAUCAUCUUAAAUGGGCGAGGAUUAAAAUCAGAGGUGACGGUACCAACAUACCCAAGGAGGUGCAUAUUGAAGAUGGUCAUUUUUGCUACACUAUGCAAAUGUGGGCCGAAACUCUGGUAAAGGUGGUCGCCGGAGAAGAAAGCAAUUCAAAAACCUUUAACUAGCAAUCAUAAAGCUUUAAACCAAAGGGUAAAGAGGUAGAAGGCUGUUUAUUCAGUCUGGUAGAAAACAGGGGAGAAAUCACGUGAAAUUGCAAAGGCACGUGAAAAAGCCAGGAAAACUUUUUAAAUGUCAAUUGGGCCUGGGGUCUCUGCUCUGAAAGUAACACAGGAUCAAAGCCCAAAAUUUUCAAUAGGCCAAACUUCAAAAAACCCGCCUAUUAAGUCACUUAAACUACCAGAAGAGGCACGUGAUGGGCAUGUGGACCUCCUAAAAGGAUUGGAAGGAAUUAAAUCACUAGCAACAAAAUUCCUAGAGGCGUACAAUGACUGGGAAACUUCUUUGAUGGUUACAAGCUCCAAACUCUUAUCAAAACUUCAUCUGAGAGAGGGAAACACUUUGCAAAUAGCGGAAACAGAACAAAGCAGCGGAGAAUACACAGAUAUUAUCUGUUCAACAUUCACAAUUCAUGAUAAUACACUGAGAGACAUAUUGAUAAGCAUAACACUGAAAUACUGGUAUUAGUGAACUGAUUAUGGAAUGUAAAGCAUCAACUGGUUAUACACUGACUGAGACUCAUGUGAUGUCAAUACACGAGUCUAUACUGAUUACAUAAUAUUCGAAAUA